AAGGGAAGGCAUGAACAUUGGAGCAGAGAAAAUAGCUGUGAGAAACUGCCUGUUUAGCGGUGAAUGUUUUGAUACAAGCUUCAGCAAUAAACAACACACAGCUCUUUUCGUUCCAGCAGAGUCCCA